rnacentral:rRNA from 1 species
AUUAACGCUGGCGGCGUGCCUAACACAUGCAAGUCGAGCGCCCUUUAUUGGGAGCGGCGGACGGCUAAGUAACACGUUAGUACCUGCCCCGGACUCGGGAAUAAGCACUGGGAAACGGUGUCUAAUGCCCGAUAGCUCUCUUCGGAGUAAAGAUUUUUCGGUCCGGGAGGGGCUUGGCGCCCGAUUAGCUUGUUGGUGAGGUAACGGCUCACCAAGGCGACGAUCGGUAGGUGGCCUGAAGAGGAUGAUCACCCAGACUGGGACUGAGACACGGCCCAGACUCCUACGGGAGGCAGCAGUGAGGAAUCUUGCACAAUGGGGGAAACCCUGAUGCAGCAACGCCGCGUGAAGGGAAGACGGUCUUCGGAUUGUAAACUUCUUUUAUUUGGGACGAACAUUGACGGUACCAUUUGAAAUAAGAGGUGGCUACACUACGUGCCCAGCAGCCGCGGUAAUACGUAGACCUCGAGCGUUAUCCGGAUUUACUGGGCGUAAAGCGUACGUAGGUGUCUUGUUAAGUCUCUGGUGAAAUCUCCGGGCCCAACCCGGAAACUGUCAGAGAAACUAAUAAGAUCGAGUGUGGCAGAGGGUCGAUGGAAUUCCCGGUGUAGCGGUAAUAAAAUGCGUUGAUAUCGGGAAAGAACACCAGUGGCGAAAGGCGAUCGGCUGGGCCAUUACUGACACUGAGGUACGAAAGCGUGGGUAGCGAACGGGAAUUAGAUACCCCCGGUAGUCCACGCCGGUAAAACGAUGGGUGCUAGGUAUCCGGGGCAUAGACCCCCUGGGUAUCGAAAGCUAAACGCGUUAAGCACCCCCGCCUGGGGAGUACGAGCGCAAAGCUUAAAACUCAAAGGAAUUGACGGGGGGCCCGCACGAGCGGUGGAGCGUGUGGUUUAUAUUAAUUCGACGCUAAGCGAAGAAACCUUACCAGGGUUUGACAAUCCCCGGUCGUAUCUCUUGGAAACAAGGAGAGUCAGUCUGCUGGACCGGUGACAGGUGCUGCAUGGUCGUCGUCAGCUCGUGUCGUGAGAUUUGGGUUUUUAAGUCCCGCAACGAGCGCAACCCUUGUCGUGUGUUGUAUUUUUUCACGCGAGACUGCCUGGGGUUUAACCAGGAGGAAGGUGGGGAUGAUGUCAGAUCAGCAUGGCCCUUAUACCCUGGGCGACACACACGCGCUACAAUGGCCGGUACAAUGGGUCGCGGAAACCGCAAGGUGGAGCUAAUCCUAUCAAAGCCGGUCUCAGUUCGGAUUGGAGGCUGCAACUCGCCUCCAUGAAGCCGGAAAUCGCUAGUAAAACGCGGAUCAGCCAUGCCGCGUUGAAUACGUUUCUCGGGCCUUGUACACACCGGCCCGUCACACCACGAAAGUCGGGAAUGCCCGAAGCACCCUUAGCCAACAUUUGAGGCGGGGGUACCACGGCAGGUUCGAUGAUUGGGGUG